GCCGCUAUAGCUCAGUUGCUAGAGCUGCUCACCUGUAAUCAGUGGAUUCUUAGCUCGACUCUUGGUGGCGGCACCA
rnacentral:tRNA from 1 species